UACGUAGGUGGCAAGCGUUGUCCGGAUUUACUGGGCGUAAAGAGCGCGCAGGCGGUCGUUCAAGUCGCGUGUGAAAGCCCCCGGCUCAACUGGGGAGGGUCACGCGAUACUGAUCGACUCGAAGGCAGGAGAGGGUAGUGGAAUUCCCGGUGUAGUGGUGAAAUGCGUAGAUAUCGGGAGGAACCACAGGGGCGAAGGCGACUACCUGGGCUGUUUCUUGACGCUGAGGCGCGAAAGCUAGGGGAGCAAACGGG
rnacentral:rRNA from 1 species